AGCUUUGCGCAGUGGCAGUAUCGUAGCCAAUGAGGUUUAUCCGAGGCGCGAUUAUUGCUAAUUGAAACAAAUGAAGUUUAACAUGGUGAUCUGGGGUACCCUAUUUCUUUUGAUGGUGGAACUUACAGUUAUAUAAUAAAUAGAAUUUUUUAAAGAUUUUAUUUAUU
rnacentral:snRNA from 1 species